ensembl:lncRNA
GUUCAGAGCCCUCUUAACGACUGUCUUGUUUUGGAAGGAAGUGUAAGUAUGGCCCUCAUAACUGUGAAAAGAGAGCUCAGCUAUUUAAACAUUAUCCCCCGGUUUCACAGACAAGCCUUAAGGCCAGUCUCAGUCUAAAAUGAUGUUCAAGCUGUCUUAACUGAAAAUAUCUUGUACAGACACAUCUUAAAAUAUGUCUGUGUCAUUGUCUUGUUUCAAGAUGCACACCAGUAAAGUUCUUAAGGCAUUUUUAUUUUUAUUAAGUUAUUUAAAUAUCCUGAUUUUAACUAAGACCUAGUUCUGGCUUAAGCUAAGCCCUGUCUGUGAAACUCUGUCUCUAUGUUCAAACAUGGAAGUUAUACAAGAACGGAACAAUGUCCUUGUUCACAUCAGGCAUGUACAUACAUUUAAAUCACUUUAUGCACUAAAACAUACACUUAUGCCACCUCACAGCAAAACUCCAGAUGUGUCAUGUGGUUUAACUGAGACCUGUUCUGAGGAUGACCACUUUAUUGACAGGCACACUGCACAAUUAAAUGUAACCCUUAAGUCAGAUGCCCUUAUAAAGACUGUAACUUUAAUGUUUGCUCUUCACAGAAAAGUUGUAAUUUACAAUCCUGACAUCACCCAGAUGGUAUUUCAAAGGCCAGAUCUUUUUACUGUAAACCAGGAUGCAGCUAACAAGAAAGACUCCAGUAAGAAUCCUCAGCAUUGAUCAAGAAAGUCCACAGCUAAACCCAUCUAGAGUGGGAAUCAUCUUGGAAGAAAAUUUUGUAAUGGAUGAACUGACCGAUCUCAGGCCUUCUAUUUUUUUAUUUUUUAUUUUUUUCAGACUGAUUUAUGCCCUGCACCUGGACUAGGUGUAUGAAAAGCUCUUUAUAUUUUAUUCAGUAGGUAAUGCUCAACCUCGGAAAAAGUGAGUUUGCACCUAUAAUUCAGUACUGCCAAUAUUGUGAACUCAAGAGUGGAAUAAAACCAUAUAGUUCUGAUGCUGUUUGUUGUAA